rnacentral:rRNA from 1 species
GAUGAACGCUGGCGGCGUGCCUAAUACAUGCAAGUCGAGCGAACGGACGAGAAGCUUGCUUCUCUGAUGUUAGCGGCGGACGGGUGAGUAACACGUGGAUAACCUACCUAUAAGACUGGGAUAACUUCGGGAAACCGGAGCUAAUACCGGAUAAUAUUUUGAACCGCAUGGUUCAAAAGUGAAAGACGGUCUUGCUGUCACUUAUAGAUGGAUCCGCGCUGCAUUAGCUAGUUGGUAAGGUAACGGCUUACCAAGGCAACGAUGCGUAGCCGACCUGAGAGGGUGAUCGGCCACACUGGAACUGAGACACGGUCCAUACUCCUACGGGAGGCAGCAGUAGGGAAUCUUCCGCAAUGGGCGAAAGCCUGACGGAGCAACGCCGCGUGAGUGAUGAAGGUCUUCGGAUCGUAAAACUCUGUUAUUAGGGAAGAACAUAUGUGUAAGUAACUGUGCACAUCUUGACGGUACCUAAUCAGAAAGCCACGGCUAACUACGUG